GGCUUGUCUCGGUCUCCUAGCCUCAAGUGAUUCUCCUGCUUCGGCCUCCCAAAGUGCUGGCAUUGCAGAUGUGAGCCACUGGCACCUAGCCCAGACAUAAUACUUUUAUAAAUGUAAAUGAAACAGAACAUUAAUUGAGCAGCUACCGUGUGUUAAGAGAACCUAUCCUCGGGAAUUCAUAAUUGAAAGAAGAACAUGAGCUGAUGGCAAUUUUCAUCUAACGAAUGGAUCUCUUACACAUCCCGUGAUCAUCAAAGAAGGAGAUUUUAUGUGGGAAUGUCUUCUGAGAACAAAGCAGAAAAAACACUGAUAAGAAUUACUGAACAUCAAACUAUGGCUCAUUGCACUGAUUCCAAUGAUAUUCAUUCAAAAGAGGUACCUCUAAGUGAAAAGAAAAACAGAUUACUUUGUCUCUUUCACCGGAAUCAAGCCACGAAUGAUGUACGUUCCCUUAAAAAACUUUCUUCUGAUUUUGGUGAAAUCUGUUUGUGUCUUCUCCAAAAUUUGUGAUGUGGCCACUCCAAAAUUUGUGUUUGUGUCCCCUCCAAAAUUUGUAUGUUGAAGCCCUAACCCCCACUGGGAUGGUAUUUUAGGAGACUGAGUCUUUAGGGGUAAUUAGGUUUUAGAUGAGGUCAUGAGGGCAGAAACCUGAUAAUAGAAUUACUGUCCUUAUAAGAAAAGAGAGACUGGAGGUCUCUCUUACCAUCAUGUAUGGAUACAGUUAGAAGCCAUCAGUCUGAAAAUAAAGAAGAGGGCACUUAGCAGGAAUCGACCAGCACCUUGAUCUUGGACUUCCUGGCCUCCAUAUCUCUGUGGAAUAAACGUUUGUUGUUAAACCACCAAAUCUCUGGUAUUUUAGUAUAACAGCCUGAAAUGACUAAAACAAC
rnacentral:lncRNA from 10 species